GCCACAGCCACAGUCACAGCCACAGCCACAGCCACAGCCACAGUCACAGCCACAGCCACAGUCACAGUCACAGCCACAGUCACAGUCACAGUCACAGUCACAGCCACAGUCACAGGCACAGUCACAGUCACAGUCACAGGCACAGUCACAGCCACAGUCACAGCCACAGCCACAGUCACAGCCACAGCCACAGUCACAGUCACAGCCACAGUCACAGUCACAGCCACAGUCACAGCCACAGCCACAGCCACAGUCACAGUCACAGCCACCACAGUGCGUGUGUGUGUUCGCUCCUUAAUGGCAGCCCAUUCCUUACAUAGGUCUGAUGAAUUAGCCUGGGUGAUGGGCCCCACGGCGCAGGGAGAGCUGUUACCAGACUGGACAUAGGUCUGAUGAAUUAGCCUGGGUGAUGGGCCCCACGGCGCAGGGAGAACUGUUACCAGACUGGACAUAGGUCUGAUGAAUUAGCCUGGAUGAUGGGCCCCACGGCGCAGGGAGAGCUGUUACCAGACUGGACAUAGGUCUGAUGAAUUAGCCUGGAUGAUGGGCCCCACGGCGCAGGGAGAGCUGUUACCAGACUGGACAUAGGUCUGAGGAAUUAGCCUGGGUGAUGGGCCCCACGGCGCAGGGAGAGCUGUUACCAGACUGGACAUAGGUCUGAUGAAUUAGCCUGGAUGAUGGGCCCCACGGCGCAGGGAGAACUGUUACCAGACUGGACAUAGGUCUGAUGAAUUAGCCUGGGUGAUGGGCCCCACGGCGCAGGGAGAACUGUUACCAGACUGGACAUAGGUCUGAUGAAUUAGCCUGGAUGAUGGGCCCCACGGCGCAGGGAGAGCUGUUACCAGACUGGACAUAGGUCUGAUGAAUUAGCCUGGAUGAUGGGCCCCACGGCGCAGGGAGAGCUGUUACCAGACUGGACAUAGGUCUGAGGAAUUAGCCUGGGUGAUGGGCUCCACGGCGCAGGGAGAGCUGUUACCAGACUGGACAUAGGUCUGAUGAAUUAGCCUGGAUGAUGGGCCCCACGGCGCAGGGAGAACUGUUACCAGACUGGACAUAGGUCUGAUGAAUUAGCCUGGGUGAUGGGCCCCACGGCGCAGGGAGAACUGUUACCAGACUGGACAUAGGUCUGAUGAAUUAGCCUGGUUGAUGGGCCCCACGGCGCAGGGAGAACUGUUACCAGACUGUGCUGGAAAGGAGGCUGGUUGAUAAGAUUACUUUAUUGGUCAACUGCACACAAGGACCAAUCAGAAUGUGACUUCUGCUUCACACCAACUCACAUACAGUUUUUGGAGAGGUGCAGGAGGCUGCCACACCGGGUACCUGGGGAGCUGUUGUUGUGGGUGGGGGGGGAUAAGUACCUCUCUAACCGGGUACCUGGGGAGCUGUUGUUGUGGGGGAGGGGAUAAGUACCUCUCUAACCGGGUACCUGGGGAGCUGUUGUUGUGGCGGGGGGGUUAAGUGCUCAAGGCCACCUCUCAAACCUGCCGCCCCUUGUCAAUAAAUACUGCACCAUGUCCACGUACCUUUGACAGGGUGAAAUGCAGUACAGUAUAUAGUGAAUGGGGGCCAUGUGGGAUAUAUUUGCCUGGUUAAAUGCAGUACACUAUAUAGUGAAUGGGGGCCAUGUGGGAUGUAUUUGCCUGGUUAAAUGCAGUACACUAUAUAGUGAAUGGGGGCCAUGUGGGAUAUAUUUGCCUGGUUAAAUGCAGUACACUAUAUAGUGAAUGGGGGCCAUGUGGGAUGUAUUUGCCUGGUUAAAUGCAGUACACUAUAUAGUGAAUGGGGGCCAUGUGGGAUAUAUUUGCCUGGUUAAAUGCAGUACACUAUAUAGUGAAUGGGGGCCAUGUGGGAUAUAUUUCCCUGGUUAAAUGCAGUACACUAUAUAGUGAAUGGGGGCCAUGUGGGAUAUAUUUCCCUGGUUAAAUGCAGUACACUAUAUAGUGAAUGGGGGGCCAUGUGGGAUAUAUUUCCCUGGUUAAAUGCAGUACACUAUAUAGUGAAUGGGGGCCAUGUGGGAUGUAUUUGCCUGGUUAAAUGCAGUACACUAUAUAGUGAAUGGGGGCCAUGUGGGAUAUAUUUGCCUGGUUAAAUGCAGUACACUAUAUAGUGAAUGGGGGCCAUGUGGGAUAUAUUUCCCUGGUUAAAUGCAGUACACUAUAUAGUGAAUGGGGGCCAUGUGGGAUAUAUUUCCCUGGUUAAAUGCAGUACACUAUAUAGUGAAUGGGGGGCCAUGUGGGAUAUAUUUCCCUGGUUAAAUGCAGUACACUAUAUAGUGAAUGGGGGCCAUGUGGGAUAUAUUUGCCUGGUUAAAUGCAGUACACUAUAUAGUGAAUGGGGGCCAUGUGGGAUAUAUUUCCCUGGUUAAAUGUAGUACACUAUAUAGUGAAUGGGGGGGCCAUGUGGGAUGUAUUUCCCUGGUUAAAUGUAGUACACUAUAUAGUGAAUGGGGGCCAUGUGGGACUCUCCCUGUCUACAGAGCGUUUAGUCACGGGACUGGUGGCACGACACUUCGUGUUUCAGAGGCUUAAAAAAGCAGAACGGAAUCUAAAAUACGGAACUUUACACAAGUCUUCCAGUCAAACUAAAAUACCAAAGAAAGGAACAUGAAAAACAGUCUCAGAAAUGUGUUUUAAAGGGGCUGUUCACUCUAAAAACAGGUUAUUUACACGUCUCAGAAAUGUGUUUUAAAGGGGCUGUUCACGCUAAAAACAGGUUAUUUACAUGUCUCAGAAAUGUGUUUUAAAGGGUCUGUUCACUCUAAAAACAGGUUAUUUACACGUCUCAGAAAUGUGUUUUAAAGGGGCUGUUCACGCUAAAAACAGGUUAUUUACAUGUCUCAGAAAUGUGUUUUAAAGGGUCUGUUCACUCUAAAAACAGGUUAUUUACACGUCUCAGAAAUGUGUUUUAAAGGGGCUGUUCACGCUAAAAACAGGUUAUUUACACGUCUCAGAAAUGUGUUUUAAAGGGGCUGUUCACUCUAAAAACAGGUUAUUUACACGUCUCAGAAAUGUGUUUUAAAGGGGCUGUUCACUCUAAAAACAGGUUAUUUACAUGUCUCAGAAAUGUGUUUAAAGGGGCUGUUCACGCUAAAAACAGGUUAUUUACAUGUCUCAGAAAUGUAUUUAAAGGGACUGUUCACUCCGAACUCAAAGUUUCUCAGAUGUUUUAAUGUCUCAGAAAAUGUGAUGUCUGAUGUCAAGUAGAGUCAAAGAUAUUUAAUAUAUAUUCUAUAUAAGGAGAAUAUGUAUUAGGAGAAAUCAAAGCCGAAAUGGAGAAACAUUGGUACUGUAAACAUACAUUUUUUUAGGGUGAACUAUCCCUUUAAGAUAUGAAUGUAUGUGUAUAUGAAUAUAUCAUGUCUUUAAAGGUACAGUAGCUAUAUUUAUAUUGUAAAAUAUGUUGUACUUAAUGUACAUAGACAUUUCUGUUUUAUAUAAGAGGCAAUCUGUAUUUAUUUUUAAUGUAAUUUUAAGGCUUCAUGCUGAAUUAAACUCCUUAUAUUUUA